UACAGAGGUCUCAAGCGUUGUUCGGAUUCAUUGGGCGUAAAGGGUGCGUAGGUGGCGGGGUAAGUCAGGUGUGAAAUCUCGGAGCUCAACUCCGAAACUGCACUUGAUACUGCCUUGCUCGAGUACUGGAGAGGGAACUGGAAUUUACGGUGUAGCAGUGAAAUGCGUAGAGAUCGUAAGGAAGGCCAGUGGCGAAGGCGAGUUCCUGGACAGUUACUGACGCUGAGGCACGAAGGCCAGGGGAGCAAACGGG
rnacentral:rRNA from 1 species